rnacentral:rRNA from 1 species
ACUCAUCACCCUGUGACAUACCUAAACGUUGCUUCGGCGGGAACAGACGGCCCCGUGAAACGGGCCGCCCCCGCCAGAGGACCCCUAACUCUGUUUCUAUAAUGUUUCUUCUGAGUAAAACAAGCAAAUAAAUUAAAACUUUCAACAACGGAUCUCUUGGCUCUGGCAUCGAUGAAGAACGCAGCGAAAUGCGAUAAGUAAUGUGAAUUGCAGAAUUCAGUGAAUCAUCGAAUCUUUGAACGCACAUUGCGCCCGCCAGUAUUCUGGCGGGCAUGCCUGUUCGAGCGUCAUUACAACCCUCAGGCCCCCGGGCCUGGCGUUGGGGAUCGGCGGAGCCCCCCGUGGGCACACGCCGUCCCCCAAAUACAGUGGCGGUCCCGCCGCAGCUUCCAUCGCGUAGUAGCUAACACCUCGCGACUGGAGAGCGGCGCGGCCACGCCGUAAAACACCCAACUCUUCUGAAGUUGACCUCGAAUCAGGUAGGAAUACCCGCUGAACUUAAGCAUAUCA